GUAGGUGAACCUGCGGAAGGAUCAUUACCUGAAUAAUUUCAGUCGGGGGUUGGUUUGGUAUUGUGUUUCGGCGCUCUACCAGCCAGCUCUGUCUGCAUAUACCCUGUUUUUUGCGUACCUUUGUUUCCUUGGCAGGCGGACGCGCCUGUCAGUAGGACCCCUUUCAACCCUUUGUAAUAGCAGUCAGCGUCAGGAAAAAACAAUAGUUACAACUUUCAACAACGGAUCUCUUGGUUCUG
rnacentral:misc_RNA from 1 species